CGCGCCACCACCCUUGACGGGUCGCCACCGUCGGCGCACAGCCAGUCCAGUCGCCACCAUCAGCAUGCCACCCCUCCGAUGGCUCCACCGUCGACUCCCCCCCAAACCCGUCGCUCCCCAGCCAACGUUCCACAAACUAGACGACCAACCAACCCAGAUCGGAUCUGGGCGAACACCGACCAACCAGUAGAGAUCGACCCGCCAAUCCGAUCCCCGCCAACCCAGCGCCAACAAGCCGGAUCCUAGUCGCCGACCUGCAAGGACUGAACCAGAACCGCCUGGCAGCCCCGCACUCCUCGACCACCAACCACCGAUCCAUACGAUCCAAAGCAAGGCCAUCCCGAUCCGAAGAGCCCCGAUCACCUAGCGACAUAUCCCGUCCGACGACAGCGUCCGUGGACGCGCCGUCGGACG
rnacentral:lncRNA from 1 species